AAACCAACCGGGAUUGCCUCAGUAACGGCGAGUGAAGCGGCAAGAGCUCAGAUUUGGAAUCGCGCAAGCGAGUUGUAAAGUGAAGACGAGCUUUAGGGGAGUCGAACGGUCAAGUGCCUUGGAAAAGGCCGCCACAGAGGGUGACAGCCCCGUUGGCCGGGACCGCUUUCCGUACAAAGUUCUGUCCGAGAGUCGAGUUGUUUGGGAAUGCAGCUCUAAGGGGUGGUAAAUUCCAUCUAAAGCUAAAUACCGGCGAGAGACCGAUAGCGAACAAGUACAGUGAUGGAAAGAUGAAAAGCACUUUGAAAAGAGAGUGAAACAGCACGUGAAAUUGUUGAAAGGGAAGGGCUUGGCCUCAGACGCGGCGCCGCCUCGGUGGUGCCGGGCCAGCAUGGGCUCGCACGGUGCGACAAUGGCAGAGGAAGGUGGCCUUCGGGUGUUAUAGCCUCUGCUGAUGGUGCCAGUGCGGGCCGAGGACUGCGCGUAUGCAAGGAUGCUGGCGUAAUGAUGUCAAGCCGC
rnacentral:rRNA from 1 species